AACGUCUUUCUUGGAACUGGUUCCGCCUUUGGCGGACGAAGAGGGAAUACGGUGAGGCCGAGCGGCCGAAACCGUGACUGCCCCCGCAACUGUAACCGUUGAGUCACCUCCCAUCGAGCCACUGAGGCGCGCCGCGCACUCGGGAAGGCGGGAGAGAGGCAGCGACACGGAAGUCAGGAGACCUGCCGGUUUCAGUCACCCAUG
rnacentral:ncRNA from 1 species